UACGUAGGUGGCAAGCGUUGUCCGGAUUUAUUGGGUUUAAAGGGUGCGUAGGCGGCCCUGUAAGUCAGUGCCGAAAUAUCCCAGCUUAACUGGGAGGGUGGCAUUGAUACUGCGGGGCUAGAGUACAGAUGAGGUAGGCGGAAUUGACGGUGUAGCGGUGAAAUGCUUAGAUAUCGUCAAGAACACCUAUAGCGAAGGCAGCUUACUAGGCUGUAACUGACGCUGAGGCACGAAAGUGUGGGGAUCAAACAGG
rnacentral:rRNA from 1 species